AUUGAACGCUGGCGGCAUGCUUUACACAUGCCAGUCGAACGGCAGCGCGGGCUUCGGCCUGGCGGCGAGUGGCGAACGGGUGAGUAAUACAUCGGAACGUGCCCAGUAGUGGGGGAUAGCUCGGCGAAAGCCGGAUUAAUACCGCAUACGACCUGAGGGUGAAAGCGGGGGAUCUUCGGACCUCGCGCUAUUGGAGCGGCCGAUGGCAGAUUAGCUAGUUGGUGGGGUAAAGGCCUACCAAGGCGACGAUCUGUAGCUGGUCUGAGAGGACGACCAGCCACACUGGGACUGAGACACGGCCCAGACUCCUACGGGAGGCAGCAGUGGGGAAUUUUGGACAAUGGGCGAAAGCCUGAUCCAGCAAUGCCGCGUGUGUGAUGAAGGCCUUCGGGUUGUAAAGCACUUUUGGCGGGAACGAAAAGGACUGUGCCAAUACCACGGUUCGAUGACGGUACCCGCAGAAUAAGCACUGGCUAACUACGUG
rnacentral:rRNA from 1 species